rnacentral:lncRNA from 1 species
GGUGGAGGCGGAAGUGACUGAUCAAUUCAGGGGCGUGGGGUUCGUUUAGGUUUUGCCCUGUGUAUGACCUCGUUUGGAGCCAUGAAACCAGCCUCAAGCUUUAUUCUAGGAAGGUGGCUUUUCUACAAUAUAAAGAUGGAAAUGGGAAGAAGAUGUUCAUUGCAAAUUAAGGAAGCUCUUCCACGAGUUCACGAAUGGAAAUAACAUCAAGAGUUUUUCAUCUUCUUAGUGUGCAAGAUAAAUAUCAAGGAGUGCAAUUCCUGGAUUUAUGAUGUCUGAGGAAUAGUCUUAGUGGAUUAUCCCAAACUUGACACAUUUUUUGCAAAAUGCUAUACAAAAAGAAGAUACAUGCGAUUAUGACAAGAUUCUCCACUUGGUGUGACCAGUCUCAUACAACCCAAGGCUGUGUGUCCAAAGGCAACUGUACUGAUCUUGACAAUAAUCAAAAGGUAGCCAGGUGCAUCGG